GUCCACGCCGUAAACGAUGUCGACUAGCCGUUGGGAUCCUUGAGAUCUUAGUGGCGCAGCUAACGCAUUAAGUCGACCGCCUGGGGAGUACGGCCGCAAGGUUAAAACUCAAAUGAAUUGACGGGGGCCCGCACAAGCGGUGGAGCAUGUGGUUUAAUUCGAAGCAACGCGAAGAACCUUACCUGGCCUUGACAUGCUGAGAACUUUCCAGAGAUGGAUUGGUGCCUUCGGGAGCUCAGACACAGGUGCUGCAUGGCUGUCGU
rnacentral:rRNA from 1 species